GGGCCCGUAGCUCAGUUGGUCAGAGCACCUGGUUUACACCCAGGGUGUCAUCGGUUCGAAUCCGGUCGGGCCCA
rnacentral:tRNA from 5 species